AUGUAUGCAGAUACAGGUAUAUUACUUUUUUGGCCGAGUGGUAUGCAGAUGCCGUCCUCCGCGCUGUACGGGGAGGCGGACACCGGGAAGCGCCAGACGGUGUGGAUGAGCCACGGCGAUGAGGUGGUCAAGCUCCCGCAGGGGUUUGAGGUGGUUGCACGCAGCGUCCAGGGCGCCGUUACACAUUCGCCCCAAGGAAUGGAAACACUUCGUCUCUUUCUCUUUGAUGUAUGUGGAAUCAAAGCUGAUUGGAAGAUGCAAGAUGUGCUGGAUGAAGAAAUCAAGACCAUCCAAACCAUGGUUGGCCCUGAUGAGCAUGUUGUCUGUGCUUUGUCAGGUGGAGUCGAUUCAACUGUUGCUGCCACUCUUGUUCACAAGGCAAUCGGAGAUAGGCUUCAUUGUGUUUUUGUUGACAAUGGUCUCUUAAGGUACAAGGAGAAAGAACGAGUAAUGUCAACCUUUGAAAGUGACUUGCACCUGCCAGUUACAUGUGUUGAUGCCUCAGAGCAAUUUCUCAGCAAGUUGAAGGGUGUCGAAGACCCAGAGAAGAAAAGAAAGAUUAUUGGCAGGGAAUUCAUAGCUGUUUUUGAUGAUUUUGGUCACAAGCUGGAACAGAAGAUUGGGAAAAGGCCUGAGUUUUUAGUUCAAGGGACAUUGUACCCUGAUGUAAUUGAAUCAUGCCCACCUCCUGGGAGUGGAAGGACACAAUCCCAUACCAUCAAAAGCCAUCACAAUGUUCGGAAGUUGGGGAGUAUUUUGAAUGUCCCAGAUUCAUUUUUAAAGCGACACCCAUUUCCUGGGCCUGGUCUUGCUGUACGUGUCCUAGGUGAUGUUACACGCUUUGGACACUCUUCGUCAGCUUUUGCUGUGUUCUUACCAGUACAGACAGUUGGGGUUCAGGGUGACCAGCGAACCCACUCCAAUGCUGUUGUCUUAAGGGCAAUCACCAGUGAGGAUGGCAUGACUGCAGAUUGGUACUAUUUUGGCCAUGAAUUCCUAGUAGAUGUGGUCAACAAGAUCUGCAACAACGUGCGUGGCAUCAACCGUGUUUGCCAGGACAUCGCAUCAUAG
rnacentral:rRNA from 1 species